UAUAUUCUCCCAAACUUUGAAAUCAUUCCCUAAGGAAACCUGUCAUUCUUGCAAUGAAUUCCUUAAGAAUUUGGGUUGUUCCUGGAAGAUUUCAUGGACCAUUUUGAAAUGGUCAAUAGAUGGAGUCCUGGAAGUAUGAAAAGAUGGUUGGUAAAAUAGUUGGCUGGAGGAGAAGGGAUAAGAGGAAUCGAAUAGGCUAUCUUCAAGCGAUAUUUGUUUGUGGUUACUGUCAAGUUGGCUGAUUCUUGACUAGAGAUUCUGAUAGAGGUUAUUAACUUGACUUGACAAGGCAUCAACUUUUGUUCCAAUGGUUGGACAAAAGAACGGCCACCUCUUGGAUAGGAUCAACAUUAUGGCAGAGAGGGGAAACUCUUCCUCAUAAGUUUCUUAAGAGGAGGAGAACAUCAUACAAGUAGAUACCAGUGGUAAGAUAGGAAGGGGAGAUGGCUUUAGCUCUUUUACUUUCUCGUCUUAAAAUCUCCAAAGCUCUUCCAUAGAUCAACAAGGGAUUUCUUUUUGCAACCCCUUUAUAGAUAUCGAUCCAAGGACCAGAGACUGGUGAAGAGUUCCUUGGAAUAUACCUUUUGCAUGGAGAACGAAAUGGUAUUUCUUGACCCGUGAUUAAAGAUUUCAUCAGUCACUUUGUCGUUUUCACAGUUACAUCCUUUAUCGCACAUAUAGGAUCCUGGAACAUCCUAAAUAAAGUGACCAUUAAUUUUAUCCGUGUAGAUGCGAGUCCCGUUUG